GUGCAGCAGGCGCGAAUACUUUACAAUGUGCGAAAGCACGAUAAGGGAACUCUGAGUGCCUCCUAAGGAGGCUGUUCAGGUGUCUAAAAAGCACCUGGAGUAAGGGCUGGGUAAGACCGGUGCCAGCCGCCGCGGUAACACCGGCAGCCCAGGUGGUAGCCACUUUUAUUGGGUCUAAAGCGUCCGUAGCCGGUUGAGUAAGUUCCUUGGGAAAUUUGGCUGCUCAACAGUCAAGCUUCCAGGGAAUACUGCUCGACUUGGGGACUGGGGAGAGGUCAGAGGUACUCCAGGGGUAGGGUGAAAAUCCAUUAAUCCCUGGGGGACCACCGGUAGCGAAGGCGUCUGACCAGACCAGGUCCGACGGUGAGGGACGAAGGCUAGGGUCGCGAACCGGAUUAGGAUACCCGCGUAGU
rnacentral:rRNA from 1 species